rnacentral:lncRNA from 1 species
GUUCUCUACAAUUCCUCUUUCACUCUUAACCUAAUUCCACAUUUCCACCUGCAAUUCAUCAGAUCCUCAUCAAAUCAUCCGAUCAUUUUACACUUUCUUCGAUUCACGCUAUCAAAUCUCAUGAUUUCACCCGAUCAAACACAUCGGAUUGCAUGAAUUCGUUCGGAUUCUAAUCACAAAUUAAAAUCCUAGUUCAGAGUUCUAAUCACAAGUUUGCAGUUCUGAGUUUGAGUUCCAGGCAUAGAUUCACAUUUUUGAAUGAUCGAUAUUUUCAAGUUGAAGAGUGAAGAACGAACUUGAUUUGGCAUUGGCGAUGUGAUUAAACAGUGUCGCUUUACAUCGGUCGUGAGGCUAUAAAGUGUGUUAGGGUCAUAAGCAAACAAAAUAUAUAUUGCAAAUGGGCCUCAGAUUUUACUUUGCUUUGGGAUUCCAAAAUGGUUGAGCUAGACUUGGCUUAUUUGGUUGAUUCCAAUGUUUCUAUCAAGCCAUCUCAUUUAUGUAGCUCUCCUACCUAACUUACAAAGAAAACAAAUAAGUCACUCCUUCAAUAGCAAUUAAGCCUUUGCAACCAGAUCACAAGAAGCAUACGGAUGACGACGGAUCUUGUUCAGUAGCAUCCUCCAAGGACAUGAUUUUUAAGCCAGCUUCUGCAUCGGCCUCAGUGUUCUACUUCUUAAGAGGUAUAUAUCGUGAGAAGCUUUGGAACUUUUUUGUGAAACUGAAAUUCUCACCCAAAAGAACGUUUAGGCUUCUCAUAUAAAGAUUUGGAAUUUGGAAUGUUACUUAUUACACAAUGUUUGGUUAACAUUUGGAAUAUGUUUCGGAUCUAAUUUUUUAUUGAAGUUAUAAUAUGAUUUCUACAUUUACAUUUUUAUGGAA